rnacentral:rRNA from 1 species
AUUGAACGCUGGCGGCAUGCCUAACACAUGCAAGUCGAACGGUAACGCGGGGGCAACCCUGGCGACGAGUGGCGGACGGGUGAGUAAUACAUCGGAACGUGCCCAGUAGUGGGGGAUAGCCCGGCGAAAGCCGGAUUAAUACCGCAUACGACCUACGGGUGAAAGCGGGGGAUCGCAAGACCUCGCGCUAUUGGAGCGGCCGAUGUCAGAUUAGCUAGUUGGUGGGGUAAAAGCCUACCAAGGCGACGAUCUGUAGCUGGUCUGAGAGGACGACCAGCCACACUGGGACUGAGACACGGCCCAGACUCCUACGGGAGGCAGCAGUGGGGAAUUUUGGACAAUGGGGGCAACCCUGAUCAGCCAUGCCGCGUGCGGGAAGAAGGCCUUCGGGUUGUAACC